rnacentral:lncRNA from 1 species
GGCUCCUCACUCUCCAACCCGUCCUGGACUCGGAGGCCAGAGGGACCUUCCUAAAGCCCUGCUCUUGUUCUGUCCCUCCCUCCCACCCGGGAGCUCCAGGGGCCGCCGGGAAGGGAGAUCCCGGGAUCCAAUGUUGGCCCCCGCCUUGGGCAGCCCCGACGUCUCGGCCCCUCCCUGCCCUCAGCCUUCAAUCAGCUCAUUCCUGCCCAACAGCAGGGUCCGGCCUGCGGGGCCUCACUGCUUCCCCCGCCCCCCUCGCCUCCGCCCUGGCCGCCCCUGGCCUGGAAAGCUUUCCCUCCUGUGGCUCUCCUGCUCACUCCCUCCCUGCAAGCUCAAGUCCAUGCCGGCUUCUCUCCCCCCUCCCCCCUCCCCUUCCUCACCCCCUGCCUUUCCUCGCCCCUCCUCCUCCCCCCAGCCUCCUAAGCUCUCCCCCCUUUCCCUCCCCUGGUUCAGAGGCAGUUGGGCUUUUCCUCCUCAGAGCUGGGGGGGACGAGGGCGCUGGGGGAGGCCCGAGAAGCUGACCGGGCCUCGGGACAGGGCUCCCUGCGGCCUCCUCCCCCAGCCUCACAUCAUGAGGCCCCGGAGCCUGUCCUGGUGCCAGGGAAGGGGAUCAGAGGCAAAUUCUUCUCGGAGCUUGGCGGGCAUCUGUGCCAGGCUGCCGGGGAUGCCCCUCCCCCCACUGCUCCCCGGGGCCCGCAGCGGGAGGGGCGAGAGCCCUGGGACUGGGGCAGGCCCGCUGGGGGGGGGGGGGGAAGCAGCCCCAGAGCAGGCUCAGCCCCAUUGUCCGAGGCCCCAGAUCGCAGAGGGGUCAGUGCUGUCCAGCGGGAAAAGCCCAGGACCCGGGGCAAAGGACCUGGUUUUACAACAUUUGUGGCCCCAUCUGCAGUUUUGUGGGCGGAGAUCCUGGCGUGGGUUGGCGGUUCCUUCUCCAGCCCAUUUUACAGAUCAGGAAACUGAGGCACGGGGUGACGGGACUCGCUCUGGGUCACUCGGCUAGGAAGUGUCGGAGGCGGCGGCGGCCCCCCUGACUCCGGGGCUGGCGCUGUGACCGUCACCCCAGCAGCCCCCCCCGGGCCUCGCUUUACCUUUUAUCCCAGGCUGGGCGGGACUUAACCUUGUGUUUGGAACCGAAGGCAGCUGCUUUGUUCAGCUGUAGCUCAUGCAAAUCUUUUGGGGCUUUUUUUCUGAGGCAGUUGGGGCUAAGUGACUUGCCCAGGGUCACAGAGCCAGGAACCAGGCUUUUCUACAAUCAGCCCGCCCGGGAUGCAUAGAGUAGCGAGAUUCCAUUUCUGUCACAUUCAGCCAUUCCCCAGUGGGCGUCUCUGGGUCACUUCUGGGUGCUUACCUCCUUAAGGUCUGAGCCGGGCAGUGCCUCGUACCCAGCAGGGAUGGGGGCCCGAGGCCUGGCCGUGGCCUUCCUGCUGGGGCUGGCGGGGGCCGCCCUGGCCUCCAACAACGGCACGCGGAUCUGCCAGCCGGCCCCGGACUGGCAGGUGGACGGCGGCGUCUCCCCCAUGGAGGAAGCCCUGGGCAACGUGACGGUGGUGGCCCUUCUCAAGGCCAGCUGACACUUCUGCCUCCUGCAGGCCGCCAGGAUAGGCAGCCUGCAGGAGCGCCUGGCCCGCGCCGGCACCGCCGGGGUCCGCUUCCUCAUAGUCAACCACAAGUCGGCGGCGGCCCAGGCCCUGCAGGGCGAGCUGGAGCUCCGGGCCCCCCGGGGCGUGCCCGUCUACAGCCAGCGGGGGCCCAGGCCCGACAUCUGGGGGCUCCUCGGAGGGGCCAAGGACGACUUCCUGGUCUAUGACAGGUGUGGCCGCCUGACCUUCCACAUCCAGCUGCCCUUCAGCGCCCUGAGCUUCCCCUUCGUGGAGGCGGCCGUUCGCUUCAGUCACCAGCAGGAUCACUGUGGGAACUGCUCUUUCUACCCGGCCCAGGUGAACGGCACGGACCAGGCCGAGUCGGCAGCCCAGUCCCCCGGCCAGGAAGGAAGGCAGGGGCCCCUGAGCGAGGGGCCCAACCCCCACCGACCGACUCUGCUGUCCGGCUCCCCUCCCCCAGCCCAGACCCAUGGGCCUGACCACAGCCCUGGCGAGCAGCCACCUCCCAGCCCCCCUCCCCACAGCCUGGAGCAGUUCCCCCACAUGCAGGCCCUCAUUUAACCUCCACAGGGGGCACGGCCGGCCCCCACGGCCCCCAACACCCCCCCCAGCUCAUUCCUGAGGGACCACUGAGGUGUCCCUGGGGUCACGGUCACUACGGGGAUCUGUGCCCAUCAAGGCCCGGCCUUGGUGAGCCCCAGACCUCACCCACCACCCUCCCUCCCUCCAUUAAUGACGCCCACGGUGCAACCCCGAGAAGCGGCCACGGCGGGCUGACGCCACAUAGGGAGGAGGGAUGAGGAAGAGUCCGUUGUGCACCCCCAGGGUGACCACAAGCCAGUGGGGGGCCCAACCAGUGCCGGGGGCUGGGAAAUGGCCAAUAAACUCGGCUGCCUGCAGCUGCCUCACUGGUCUGCUUGGGGGCUUUCGGGGGGCCGGGCGGGAGGCAGGGCCCCAGGAUGUGAGAGAGUAUGUACAUGGGGCAGUGUGAGAGAAAACGUGAGGGGCCGCACCCACAGCAGAAUCAGGGGGAGGUCGAGGAGAGUGUGAGAGGGGCUUCCUGGAGGAGGCGGCCCUGAGAGGGCUGGGAGGAGCCCAAGGUCAGGGCUGACUCAGGGCCCAGCCCUCUCCUCCCCUGACUUGCAGCAGCAGCAGGGCUGGACCCUAACCCGGGGCCCCUUCUGUGACUUUCUGGGGAGAAAUAGGUCCUGCCCCUGUACGGGCCCCUUGGGAACCCCCGCAGCCCCAGAUCUGGCUCCCUCGUCCCAAGCCCUCCCGGGAUCGUCCCUCUGGGACAGAAGGCUGGCCCAGAGCUCCGAGGGCCGGGCCCACGUCUCCCUUCUCUCACGGGGCUCCCGCCGAGGGCCGACUCUCAGCCCUGCUGUCCUUGCUCUGCCCCACGGGUGGGGGUGGGGGGACCAGGAACCCCACAGCGACAUCCCUGCAAGCCUCCCCUGGAAUGCCUCUAGGGACGGGGAGCUCCCUACCUCACCUCCAGAGGCAGCCCCACUGCCUCUGUACUCCCCCCCGCCCAGAGGCUCCUCGGGGCCAAGCAGACAAGGCUAGAGCCCCUUCUGGCGAGGACCCUUUGAGACCCUUGAAGGCGGCUCUCGGGGUGUGAGAGAGAGACUGGCUUUGCACAGAGGGCCAGGGUUUGAAUCCUGCCUGACUCCUGGGGGCUCCUUCUGGGCCCAGUCUCCUCCUCUGCACAAUGAGCCUGGGACUUGGAGCCUCUCCCGGGGCAGCCCCCUGCCCCCGAGCUUGGGCUUGGUCCCAGGCCCCAAAAACCCUCCAUUUACUUCAACAAGCUUGAGCUCGCCGGCACCACCUUGUGGCCAAACAUGGAUCCUCAACAAAGGCAGGGGAACAGGCAUUUAUUAAGCACCGACUGUGUACCAGGUUCUGUCCUGAGCGCUCAUGGCUCAGGAAGCAGGUGCUCUGAUUGUCCCCAUUCUACAGAUAAGGAAACUGAGGUAGCAGAGGUGGAGGAGCUUGCCCAAGCAGGCCUCCCUGACUCCCAAGCCAGCUUAGGGGCCUCUGGGAGGGGCCUUUACCACAGUUUCCCUGGUGGAGGCCCCAUGGAGGGCCCUCUCCCAGAUGCGCUAUCUCCCCUCCUCUGGCCCCCUGCCUUCUCUAAUCUUCUUCCCCCGAUGGCCCCCAGGAGUCGGCUCUGGGGGGGCCCCUGUGAGCUCUGGCCCCUGGAGGGGUGGGGGGGUGACGGGCCCCGGAGCGGGCUGGGGGCUGAGGUGGGACUUCCUGGCGGACGGUCUCCGGUCAGGGCGGGGGGCGGGGCCGUCACUGGGCGGAGCUGGCGGGAGGCCGGGCAGGCCCACGGCCCCCCACGCGGGGGGUCCAUGUCCGGAGAUCCCGGGCCAGGUUGGGGGGGGUCCCGCCCAGCAUGCGCCCAAGCUGCUCGAUCCUCCUGUGGGGGAGGGGGCGGCUAGGGCCCAGGGCAGCCCGCGGUGGCCAGGCCCCCCUCGCUUCUCCUACCUUGGGGGCGUAGAGGGCGCAGGGGUCCAGGUUGCCCUGCAGGGUCACCGACUUUCCCA